rnacentral:rRNA from 1 species
UAGGGAAUCUUCGGCAAUGGACGAAAGUCUGACCGAGCAACGCCGCGUGAGUGAAGAAGGUUUUCGGAUCGUAAAACUCUGUUGUUAGAGAAGAACAAGGACGUUAGUAACUGAACGUCCCCUGACGGUAUCUAACCAGAAAGCCACGGCUAACUACGUGCCAGCAGCCGCGGUAAUACGUAGGUGGCAAGCGUUGUCCGGAUUUAUUGGGCGUAAAGCGAGCGCAGGCGGUUUCUUAAGUCUGAUGUGAAAGCCCCCGGCUCAACCGGGGAGGGUCAUUGGAAACUGGGAGACUUGAGUGCAGAAGAGGAGAGUGGAAUUCCAUGUGUAGCGGUGAAAUGCGUAGAUAUAUGGAGGAACACCAGUGGCGAAGGCGGCUCUCUGGUCUGUAACUGCCGCUCAGGUGCGAAAGCGUGGGGAGCAAACAGG